rnacentral:lncRNA from 1 species
ACAAACUAGAAAAUAAGAAGAAAGUUAAAAAUCAAAGUAAAAGAUUUUUUUUAUAUUUAAUUAAUUAACUUUUAAUUUUUUGAUACAAAAGAGAAAAUCUCUAAGCAGUUAUUCAAACAAAUAUCUAAAUAUAUAAACAAAUCAAUUUUUUACUUUAUAACAAUAGCUAUCAUCUUAAUUAUAUUUGAUCUAAUUAAAAAAUAAAAUAAAACUUAAAAAAACAAGGCUUAAUGGAAAAAAGAAAAAUC